CAUUCUGCAUUUUCCUUGCAAAUCCACAAAACUUGCCAUAAUUUUUCAAAAUUUAAUCAAUUCCAGCAUACAUUUCAUAGAGUUUUUGGCUCAACAAAUUCCGGGUCAUAUUCUGCUUGGAAAGUUGUUGGUAUAUCUCAUGAAUAAUGUAAUGUUUUCCGAUCCACAUUUUCUAGAUAAUAUCAGUAAGUUCUAAACUUCAAUAUGAGGUAAGUUUCCUUUUGCAGUACCAUACUCAUUCCACAAGUAUUGGAUAUUUUUCAGGUAAAUGACUAAGAGGUAAGUUGUACCUGAGAUUUUUAUAAUAUUAUCUGUAUAAAAUGUUAUGGAUCUUUCUCCAAUGCUCAGGUUUAUAAUGUUUUUGUGGGAGAGAUUAUUUCAUUCAUCCAUCAACUUCUCCGGUAUAGUGAUGUUCUUCAAUAUCUUUGUGCAUGGAGUUCUAAUGUAAUGUCCAAAUUGUAAAUAAUAGGUUUAUGUAAUGUAAAUUGUAAAUAGAGAUAUUCAUUGUAUAAAGUGCAUGAGCUUUUCUUAUAAUACUUUGAAUUUAUUGAAAUAAUUAUAUUCCGACUUUAUUUUGAAAGCUUAUAACUGUAAGAUUACUUUAAGUGCCCAAUUGUUCAAAUAAGAGACUUUGUACAUAAUCAUAAUAUUGUUUUUCAUUUAUGAAAUAUGGCUUCCAAUUGAUUGUAUUCUCCAAAGUUCAGUUCUUUUGAAGAAUUUGAAUAAUAUAGACAUUUUCGAGUUAUGUUUAUAAGAAUAGACAUGCACAGAUUCAAAUUAAUGUAGGUACUUUUCUCCAACUUUCAAGUUCGGAAUUUUUUUUAGAUGAUUGGAAUUAAGUUGAAUAAUGCUCCUUCAAACUAGGAGAGUCUUCCUCAUUCAUGCUAAUUGAGAGAUUCAUGUACCGUUAUUCAACUUAUACUGACGAAAUCAAUUUGGAUGAAGAUUUAAAGAAAUGAAAUAAUAUAUCAAAUCAAGUGUAAUUUCUUAUAUAAUAUGGAAGGUGAAAUAAUUCUUCAUUAGUUAUCUAACUCUUAAUCGUUAUUUUUCUGAAUCUCAACAAAAGUAUUUUAUUGCAGAAUAUUACUGAUGAAGCUAGAGAUCUACUAGGAGGAGGAAAUAUAAUUUCACUAAUUACACCUCUACUUGGACAAUUGUCAGGGGUAGGCGCAACAAACAAACAUUGAGACUGAGAAAACACACAUUACACAUUCAACUAAUACUUCACAUAAUUCACAUUUACGAAAUAGUAUUGAAUGAAUGAGAUUUCUAUAGUAGAGGAAAACCUUCCCUUACAAAGAUUAUUUCGAUGAAAAUCUCAGGAAAUUGUAUAAUGUAGAUAUCAUAUAAAAUUUUCUUAAUUCAACAAUAUUUUUCCUCAACAAUACUCGAAAAUAUAAGCUUUUUUAUUAAGUGAAUUGAAAUAGUUCUUGAUGAAAAAUCUCACGUAUUCGAGAUUGUUUAAAAUUACUUUUCAAAUUGUAUUAGAAUAUUCUCAUUGAAACUCGAGCACACUACUAACAUUGACAUAGUGAUCACUUAAAACCACCAAAUAUUUCAACCUGAUAUCCUUAAUAAGUUUCUGUACUAAACGAUCAGUUAUCAAAAAACGUUCAGAUCAGUUAUCUGAAAAACAAUUUAAUCUAUUUCCAAACCAUUGUAACAAAAACAAAAUCAAAUUGAUUUCUGUUGGGUGAAUUCAUUGUACCGUUAACAAUCAAAUGUUUAUUGAAGUAAAUGAAAAAUUUAGAUUUUGUUUAAUUAUUCGUCUUGAAAAAAGUGAUUGAAGAAAUUAUUGAUCCCUAUCAUCAACAACAUUACUAACACACUUUUGAUACACUAUUUCGACAUUAUAUAAUAAUUAUUGGAACACCACACUGCUUGAUUUAAUUGUCAUAAGAUCACAUCCAUACUUACAUCUUCAAACCCAACCCACCCUGGUAUGAGAAGAAAGCAUUAUUUGUGAUCGAAGCCAUUAUUGCAAAGCAAUAUUUUACAGGCCGGUAAUAAUUCGACUCGCGAAGACGGCGAGGAUGGUGGUUCAGACUCUGGAUCAAUUUUGGAGUUGCUUGGUCCAUUAUUUGGAAGCAGCAGUGGCGGUGGGGUAUGGUGACCUUCAAGAUAAAACACACACAAUAAACACACAAAUACCUAGAAACGCACAAGACUUAUUGAGUUCUGAUUACAAAAUCUCGGCAUACAAUCUGAAUGAAAACAGAUGGCCAACUUACAUUUCAUCAGAAAUGAGAUUUUUAUAUUUUUCAUCCACACAUUACUUUUAUUCAAAAAAUUGUCAAUAGUUUUUACAUUGAUGGGAGUAUCACUUACUGUCGAUAUUAUGAAUUGCAGUUAUUGUGAUGUUGUAAGAUAAGAUAAAGUACAGGAUAGAGUUGACAUAAUACAAUAGAGAAAACAUAGGCACCUACUUGAAACAAAACAUAUUAUACAUAAUUUCUUGACAUGAUUACAAACAUUCUAUUUCUCUAUUCUUAUUCUAUGAUUAUACUGGCAACAUGAAUAGAGAGUAAAAUAGAUUAUAGUGUUGCAUUUGUGAGUUAAAUUACAAUAGUAAUAUUUAGAAGUUGAUUGAAGCCCGGUAAAAUUAGGCUACAUCUUACAAAUAGGCCUCCCUCAUUGUUCAAGCCUGUUCCUCAUGCAGAAUAUACUCAUGCCAUCAAAAUAGUUCAUUAUUCCAUCAUAGCACAGAACUGAACUGCAAGAAUACAAUAAUAUUUUGGAACUCCCCAGUUAUAAUAAUUGUAGUUAUAUAUUAUUGUAUUUAUGUAUAUUCUUGCAGCAUGACUAGAGCUUGAAUGAUAUAUGUAUUCUAUUCUGUAUUUCAUUAGAUAAAGCAUGAGUAUUGUACUAUCUUGUUACCUUGUACAAAUUUGUAAAAUGUAAAUUUUAUAUUUCCAUUUAGAUGUGUGGAUCUACAUAUAUCAUCUAUCUGUUACACGCUUUUGUAUUGAAAUACCGUAUUCGCUUCUGUACGCCUCUUCAUACUUUUGUCUUCCUCGAAAAUUUUGCAGGACGAUGAGGAAGGAGGUGGUUCUGAUUUCAGUCAGAUCUUGAAUAUUCUGCAGCCUUUUCUUGGUGGUAGCUCUGGGGGUGAAGAAGGAGACCAAAUGUCAGACUCUGGUGCUAUACUUAACAUUGCUGGUCCACUGAUUUCAAGCAGCAGCGGGGGUGGUGAUUCAGAAGAUGGAGGGGGAUCUGAUUCUGGUUCAAUCUUGGAUUUAGUAGGACCAGUUGUAGGCAGCAGCAGUGGAGGGGUAGGUCAUCGAAAUUAACUAUUCAAAAUCACGACUCUUUCCGCACAACUGUCCUUUUAGUGGAGAAACAGUUCAUAAUAUUAUACAAUAUAAAUAUAAUAUUACAUUAUACAAGAUUAUUUUUCUCAGUAUCAAAUGUAGAAUCGAGUUACUCUUCAAUAAGGAUAAAACUCACAAUAAAACAGCUACACUUUGAAAUUCAAAAUGAAACGUCUCAAUUAGAUGACCUUUUGUCAUGAUGAACACAUUGAAACUUGACUUCUAAGAUUUUAAUAGAUAAGUGUAUCCUUGCUUUCUUGAAAGAAAAUA
rnacentral:lncRNA from 1 species